AACGCACCUUGCGCUCCUUGGUAUUCCGAGGAGCAUGCCUGUUUGAGUGUCUUGAAGUCAUCAACCCCAGCCGUUCUCCUUUGAAAGGGUGUGUGCUGGGUUUGGAUGUUGGGGGUGUGCGGUCCGUGCGGCCCGCUCCCCUCAAAUGCAUUGGGUUGGGCCUGUGGGUCGAACUUGACUGGGUGUUGUACAAACCUCGCUCUGGUGGAGAUGUUCCCAACAUUGUGUGCCUGCCCCCCUGGACCCAUUGCCCCCCCUUUUUUUGGGGGGGUUGUGUUGGUCAAAGGGCAAAAUGCUCUUCUAUUGAAACUCUGACCUCAAAUCAGGUAGGACUACCCGCUGAACUUAA
rnacentral:misc_RNA from 1 species